GAACGUACGCUGGCGGCACGCCUAACACAUGCAAGUCGAACGAAGUAUCAAUACUUAGUGGCAGACGGGUGAGUAACAUGUGGGUAUCUUCCCUUUGGCCUGGAAUAACACGAGGAAACUUGUGCUAAUACCGGAUAAGUCUUUACGGAGAAAGCUUUAUGCACCAUUGGAUGAGCCCGCACUUGAUUAGUUUGUUGGUGGGGUAAUGGCCUACCAAGACUUUGAUCAAUAGCUGAUUUGAGAGGAUGAUCAGCCACAUUGGGACUGAGACACGGCCCAAACUCCUACGGGAGGCAGCAGUGGGGAAUCUUGCACAAUGGAGGAAACUCUGAUGCAGCGAUGCCGCGUGAGUGAAGAAGGCCUUUGGGUUGUAAAGCUCUUUCGUCGGGGAAGAAAAUGACUGUACCCGAAUAAGAAGGUCCGGCUAACUUCGUGCCAGCAGCCGCGGUAAUACGAAGGGACCUAGCGUAGUUCGGAAUUACUGGGCUUAAAGAGUUCGUAGGUGGUUGAAAAAGUUGGUGGUGAAAUCCCAGAGCUUAACUCUGGAACUGCCAUCAAAACUUUUCAGCUAGAGUUUGAUAGAGGAAAGCAGAAUUUCUAGUGUAGAGGUGAAAUUCGUAGAUAUUAGAAAGAAUACCAAUUGCGAAGGCAGCUUUCUGGAUCAUUACUGACACUGAGGAACGAAAGCAUGGGUAGCGAAGAGGAUUAGAUACCCUCGUAGUCCAUGCCGUAAACGAUGUGUGUUAGACGUUGGAAAUUUAUUUUCAGUGUCGCAGCGAAAGCGAUAAACACACCGCCUGGGGAGUACGACCGCAAGGUUAAAACUCAAAUGAAUUGACGGGGACCCGCACAAGUAGUGGAGCAUGUGGUUUAAUUCGAAGAUACGCGCAGAACUUUACCAACACUUGACAUGUUCGUCGCGACUUUAAGAGAUUAAAGUUUUCGGUUCGGCCGGACGAAACACAGGUGCUGCAUGGCUGUCGUCAGCUCGUGUCGUGAGAUGUUGGGUUAAGUCCCGCAACGAGCGCAACCCUCACUUUUAGUUGCCAUCAUUAAGUUGGGCACUCUGAAAGAACUGCCAGUGAUAAGCUGGAGGAAGGUGGGGAUGACGUCAAGUCCUCAUGGCCCUUACGUGUUGGGCUACACACGUGCUACAAUGGUAUCUACAACAGGAAGCAAGACGGCGACGUUAAGCAAAUCCUUAAAAGAUACCUCAGUUCGGAUUGUACUCUGCAACUCGAGUACAUGAAGCUGGAAUUACUAGUAAUCGUGGAUCAGCGUGCCACGGUGAAUGCGUUCCCGGGUCUUGUACACACCGCCCGUCACACCAUGGGAGUUGGUUCUACCUUAAGGCAAGGUUUAAAACCCUUGACCACGGUAUAGUCAGCGACUGGGGU
rnacentral:rRNA from 1 species